UAUUUUUUCUCAUCUUAGUUUGCUAUUUUGGCGCGAUUUUGACAAUUUCUGGCGCAUUCCACUUAUUUACUUUAGCGGCCAUAGGGCAAUGGCAUGCAAUGGUUUACUAACGGGAGAUGUGAUGAAUUGCAGCAGCAAUACUUGGAAUAUAAAGAAGAAGUGAAGCAAUUAUGAUACCUAUUAUUUUUUAUAAUGACAGAAGGAACGUGGAAGAAAAACAUUUUGUGCAGCAUGUGAAAACAAGGAAAUAAAAUGAAAGAAGGGCUGCUACUUUUCAUGCGCCCGAAACCAGCCACCUCAUCAUCAUAGCAUGUUGCAUUGGAGCUCUGCUGGAGUUUGCUGAUGACAGGAUGCUGAAGGGCUGAAGCUGGUAGCUCUGGCAGGAGUCCAGUGUCCACCAGCUCAAGAUCCGACGCCGCCGCGUCGCCGCCGUGCGGCACUCCGCGGAGACGGGGACGGCGGUCAUGAUUGAAGACACCGCAUUUCCCGCCUGGACUGUCCGGUCGGAGACUGAUAAUCCCUCCGGUGAGCCGCACACCGUGGAGCUACUGCACCGCGCGUGUCCACCCUCAGUGCAGUGCCAGCAACGGUGCCGUGAGUGCGACAUCUGCGUGCAUAUGACGCAGUGCGACUGUCACGACUCGCGGCUCAGUUACCGGGGUUACAUGAGCAAGUAAAUGCGUAUCAGGAACGGAUUUUCCUAUUCGCUCACCAUUGUAGUCCGUUUGUAAUGCGUAUUAACUCUGCUCAUGUAACCCCGAGCAGUGUUAACUGUCAGUGUGACAGUGCGGCCCGCGCUCGUUUUAGCGAGGUGCUCUGUUGUAUAUAACCACCUUGAUGGAGACAUAUGUGCUGCCGCUUGAGUUUCAAUGUACAGUUUUAUGCAUCAAACUAGCGUAAGUAAAUGGCUGUCAGAGGUCAAUUUGAAGCGCAAUUAGUACCCAUAACCCAGAUGGGUUGACCGUGUCAUGUGACAAGUCCCGAUGAACGUACUGUUUCGAUGUCGUCAGUCGUAGACUUUUGUAAACCAUUCGUUUCGGAGCUCUGUGUUGUGUUGUUCGGGAUCGCAGUUGUUUGAGCAGUUUGCUUUAUGCGUCGUACGCGCUGACAGAACGCUGGUCGUACACAAGUCAUGUGUUUCCUUUCGCCCCUAAUGGGUUACUGCGGUACCUAUGUAGUUGGAAUGUGUCUCGAGACACUAACUGGUCGCCCUUGGUUGUGAAAAUGACACUAGCUGGUCGCACUUGGUUUCAAGCUGCGUUUGGAAAUGGUGCAAUAUUAUUUGCAUUUUGCAAUGCAAUUUUAUUGCCGUAACCGUAUUGGUAGAUAGUGUCAGAAGUUGGCCAUUGGAUGCGUUGUCACUUGUCAGACGCUGUUGCCUUAGUACUGACAAAUUGAUGGGCCGCGUUUGUGUUCCUGUUAACAAACGGAUCUCAAUAUAAGGUGAUUCAGAGGUAGGAACCUGAAUGCAUUCGUU